rnacentral:lncRNA from 1 species
UCAUCUCUUCUAGAUAUUGGCAUUCUAUGAAAGAUUGCAUUAGCUUUGAAGAUUUAUAUGACUACAACCAAAUGCUUCAAUGCAGAAAGUAAACAUGUUCUCCAAUAAUCUAAUCCAUGUAAUACCCCAAUGCCACUUGUCAUGGAUCGCAGACAAAAGGGUGCUCCAAAGGCACCUUGCCCCCCUAGACUAAAUGUAUCUAGUAUAAACACCAACUGAACAGUCAUCUUGUAUCAAUACAGUAGACUUACCAACUCUGCCAGUUGGCAUCCUUCAUUUUCAUUCAAGUAUUUAAAAAUCAUUAUUUGAAAAAUGUGACUGAGAAAGGAAAACAGAUCAUGCCCCAUGUAUCUUCCUCUUAAACUUAAAAUUUCUUUCAUGAGGCCAUAGAAUAACUAUCCUUACGCAUGAACAAGUAGCUGGCAAAUCAAAAAUGGAACUAGUGCAAUUCAUGGUUUGGAGGCUUUUGCCCAGUUUGCUUAUGUUUGAGCAACAUGAACUUUCUUUGAAGCUUAGGUGAGGUCUAGCUAAAAUGCCGAACACAAAUAGAGAUGUGCCUUUCAGAACAGACUAUUAAAGAAACAUUCCAAAAAAAGAAGGUUGCAUUUACAUUGCCACAUAUUAACAAAUCCAGAUUGAAGUUGAAGUGCCACAUUAUAGAAUAUUAACAAGUCGAUCACAUCUAGAAGAGAGGAAAAAACAAUCAAAGUUCAAUUGAUUUGAGCAAUGCUUUCUUGGUUCAACCCAAAGUUACAUUGCAGAAGCCACAGAUGACAUAUAUCGAGCUGUUCUUCUCACAUGAACAUCAGCACAGAAGAGCGCAGAGUCUGGAAGUUCCUCCAGUUGCGGAUCUUGUUUAUCUGGGAUUUGCUUGCUUAUCUUGUUUGCUUUUUCGGAGUCCGAUGCUUCGAGCUUUUGUUUGCUGCUGUCCUAAUAUCAUUUUGGAUGGAAUGAAAUUGUAUUCAUGGUGGACUUCAGAACCUAGUGCCUUUGUUUGCAGUAUAUAGUGUAUUUGGCACAUUUGAUGGAUGUGAAAGGACUUAUGAUGGUUAGACUACUUAUUUGUUUGGAAAUAUAGUUAUAAAUUUGAUGAAUAUAUUUCGUUUUCUUAAUGCCUGCCCUUAAGAGAGAGCUAAACUAGAUGAGAUAUAGAAACAUCUUUUAUUUUCUUAAUUGUUCUUUUCUGGAGAAUACUGGCAUGGUCAUGCAGUCUCCCUUGAAGAUGAAAUCUAAUGUUCAA